GACGAACGCUGGCGGCGUGCUUAACACAUGCAAGUCGAACGAAGUGGCGAACGGGUGAGUAACGCGUAAUCAACCUGCCCUUCAGAGGGGGACAACAGUUGGAAACGACUGCUAAUUCCGCAUACUGAAGGAGGGGAUUGCGUUUGAUGGGGUAGUUGGUGGGGUAACGGCCCACCAGGGCGAGGAUCAGUAGCCGGUCUGAGAUGGUGAACCGCCCGAGUGGGACUGAGACACGGCCCAGACUCCUACGGGAGGCAGCAAGGGGGAAACGUCCGCAAUGGACGAAAGUCUGACGGAGCAACGCCGCGGGAGUGAUGACGGCCUUCGGGUUGUAAAGCUCUGUUAAUCGGGACGCGGUACCGGAAUAGAAAGCCACGGCUAACUACGUGCCAGCAGCCGCGGUAAUAC
rnacentral:rRNA from 1 species